rnacentral:lncRNA from 1 species
UCGCAACACAAAAUUUGAUUCACGCUAAAUUUCACUUCCAGAUAACUAAACAAGUUGAUUAAUCAUAAAUUGAUAUGAAAAAAUGAAUACAUAUUUCGAUGCAGACAAGUAAACACUUCAGCUAGUUCUGAUCCAAUAACAAUUCAUAACAAAGCACAAAGCAAGAACAUAAGAUGAAUAAAAAAAUAGAUCAGAAGCAGAUCCGAGUCAGAAUCGGAAGAUCUGGUUUCAAAUUUCGAGAAACGAUCAAGUGAUUUAACUCUCAUAAAAAUUAAAAUAAAAAACAGAGAAAUGUAGAACAAUCUAAUUGAAAUGAGAAAUGGAAGGAACGAACCUUCUUGCGGAGACCAGAGGUUCCAGGUUUCUGGCCAUCGAAGGGAGUGGUGUCUUUGCGAGAAACGUUGAAGAGAACCAUGGCAAUUACCUGAUGAGAGAAAAAACGAAAUCUAGAAAUGAGAGAGAAAGUGUGUAAGAGAAAGAAGAAGAGAGAAAGGUAGCAGUGGCAAUGGCAUAAGUACGUAUUUAUAGGGGAAUAGAGAGAGGAGAGGAAAAAACGAAGUACCUUACGAGUGUUGAGUUGAUGAAAUGAAUGAAUGGACGAUGGAAUGCUUUGCUUAUUUGGAACGGAAUAGAUGGAUCACGUUUGUGCGACGAGAAUUUUAAUGAAUUUUAUAUAUAAUUCAAAAUGAAUCAUAGAGUGAGUGUGUAUAAAUUUUACACUCAUUAUCUAUGUGUUUGUCUUUCAUUUAUAUUUUUUUUGGGAACAGUUUUUUCCCAUUGUAUUAUUUAUUUUUAAUUAUAAAUAAUAUAUUAAUUAUAUAUAAAUCUUUAUAAUAUUAAUAUAUAAAUAUUACAUUAUAUUCUUGGUUACAUCACUCCUCCACACUUAAAGCUCUAUAUAUAUAAUGUUUUAUCUCUCAGCUGGUUAGGAAUACAAGAGCUUAUCUUUCUGAAGAGUACAUUUAAAGUUGUAGGACAGAUAUAUUUGACAACUCACUUCUAUUAUUUUACAUUACAUCACUCAUCACAAAUUGCCUCUUUUUAUGAUGAUAAAUGUUAUAAAAACAUUUAUGUUAUAUAUGCUAAAUGCUUUUUUUUAUAUUUCUAAAUGUGAAUCAUAUAAAUAUAAUAAUGAAAAGUGGACAAUGUUCCAACAAUAUAUAAACACCAAGUUAUUAGAAUUUUUAAUAUUAUUAUUUUUUAUUGAUGAGAAACAACACAUGUCCAUAUAUCUUUCUCUGCAUAGUAUACCAAGUUAUUGAUUAUUAUUUAUUAAUGAGAUGUAUGUAUUACAGCAAUGUGAUUUUUAUGGCUGAAAGAUUAGUUAGUUACCUUUUAAUACAAAUAAUAACUUCCAGAAAGUAAAACAUAACCCAACUUGUUAAGUGCAACCUAACACAUAUUUAAUACAAACAGUACUUCUUUACUUCAUAAUAUUGAUCCUUGUAUUUAAUUGGCUAUAGGGGUGAACUCAAAUUUAAAAAUUAAACUCAAAUAAUAUUUAACAAUAUAUUAGAGAUAAAUAUUAUUCGAUUCAACUUAUCUCUGGUUCAUCUAUGAUUUCUAAUUAUACGUGCAUGUUGAAUUAUGCACAGAGUAAUAUUAUUUCUUCUACCUAAGUAUAUAACAUUAUAAUGCAUUUGAUUGCAUCCAACUUAUAUAUUGAUAUAACAUUUGUAUUUUAAGUAUGUUUUUUUAAUUGUUUUGUUAGUUAUCAAUAACACUCUUGUGCAAAUGAUUUUAUUAUCACAUGAUAUGUAUAUAAAUAUAUUAUUAUUAUUAUUAUAUAUAUAUAUAUAAUUGAUUAUCUAAUAUUUUCAUCACACAUAUAUAUAUAUAAAUGGUUCAGAAAAUAUAUGCAUAUAUAUAUCAUUCAUAUGCCAAAUCACAUAUUAUAAGUAUAUUUCAUGAUUCCAAAAUCUCUUUAUUCCCUUCAAUUUUAUAUAAUGUAUAUAUGAUUUGACAUAUGAAUGAUAUAUAUACAUAUAUUUUCUUAAUCAUUUACAAAUAUGUAUUUCUAAUGAAAAUAUUAGAUAAUUAAUGAUAUAUAUAUUGUGACAAUAAAACUAUUUGUACAAAAAUGUCCAUUAUGCAAGAUAUCGUAAUAAACAGCGGUCAUUCAACAGUGCAAUUUUGAAUGACGUUGUUGAAAAAUGAGGUGCAAGAAACAUCAACAACAUAUAAUAAAGCAGACGUUAUCAAUUUGUGUAACUUCAACAACACAUUCUUAACAAUGGGAAAUGUAAUUUCUUUUGUUUGGCUUGAUGGCAUACAUCACGUAUGUAGUCUUUAUUGAAUUCAACAAAAUGAAACAUUAUUUAAACAUUCUGUGCAUUGAUGUGAUGCCGAUAUAUGUUACUAAGAUGGUCAGUGGUAGUUAAGUCCUUAACCAAAAUAAGAUGAAGCCACAAUAUUGUACUUUAAAAGUACUUGACAAAUUAAUUGAUUGUAAUCUUAUACUUAAAAGAAACAAAAUAUGUAGCUGUCAUUAGUUAGUAGAAAUAAAACAAAAUAAGACGCGAAAAGAACUAACUACCUCUAACUUUUUCUGCAGUUAGGGCAUUGAAUGAAGCCUGAACAAAAUUUUCCAGGUAAUUAGGUUGGAUGAAUACUUUCACCUGAAAAGAUCAAUCCAAUCCAGUCCACCAUUAGAUAUUACAAGAAACAUACAAAUAAAGGACAUGCAACAAUCCAUGUGAAACAGAUCUCGCAACACAAAAUUUGAUUCACGCUAAAUUUCACUUCCAGAUAACUAAACAAGUUGAUUAAUCAUAAAUUGAUAUGAAAAAAUGAAUACAUAUUUCGAUGCAGACAAGUAAACACUUCAGCUAGUUCUGAUCCAAUAACAAUUCAUAACAAAGCACAAAGCAAGAACAUAAGAUGAAUAAAAAAAUAGAUCAGAAGCAGAUCCGAGUCAGAAUCGGAAGAUCUGGUUUCAAAUUUCGAGAAACGAUCAAGUGAUUUAACUCUCAUAAAAAUUAAAAUAAAAAACAGAGAAAUGUAGAACAAUCUAAUUGAAAUGAGAAAUGGAAGGAACGAACCUUCUUGCGGAGACCAGAGGUUCCAGGUUUCUGGCCAUCGAAGGGAGUGGUGUCUUUGCGAGAAACGUUGAAGAGAACCAUGGCAAUUACCUGAUGAGAGAAAAAACGAAAUCUAGAAAUGAGAGAGAAAGUGUGUAAGAGAAAGAAGAAGAGAGAAAGGUAGCAGUGGCAAUGGCAUAAGUACGUAUUUAUAGGGGAAUAGAGAGAGGAGAGGAAAAAACGAAGUACC